rnacentral:rRNA from 1 species
AUUGAACGCUGGCGGCAGGCCUAACACAUGCAAGUCGAGCGGAUGAAGGGAGCUUGCUCCUGGAUUCAGCGGCGGACGGGUGAGUAAUGCCUAGGAAUCUGCCUGGUAGUGGGGGAUAACGUCCGGAAACGGGCGCUAAUACCGCAUACGUCCUGAGGCAGAAGGUGGGGGAUCUUCGGACCUCACGCUAUCAGAUGAGCCUAGGUCGGAUUAGCUAGUUGGUGGGGUAAAGGCCUACCAAGGCGACGAUCCGUAACUGGUCUGAGAGGAUGAUCAGUCACACUGGAACUGAGACACGGUCCAGACUCCUACGGGAGGCAGCAGUGGGGAAUAUUGGACAAUGGGCGAAAGCCUGAUCCAGCCAUGCCGCGUGUGUGAAGAAGGUCUUCGGAUUGUAAAGCACUUUAAGUUGGGAGGAAGGGCAGUAAGUUAAUACCUUGCUGUUUUGACGUUACCAACAGAAUAAGCACCGGCUAACUUCGUG